rnacentral:rRNA from 1 species
GACGAACGCUGGCGGCGUGCUUAACACAUGCAAGUCGAACGAUGAAGCCGGAGCUUGCUCUGGUGAAUUAGUGGCGAACGGGUGAGUAACACGUGAGUAACCUGCCCUUGACUCUGGGAUAACUGCUAGAAAUGGUAGCUAAUACCGGAUACGACCCUCGGAGGCAUCUCCAGGUGGUGGAAAGAAUUUCGGUCAAGGAUGGACUCGCGGCCUAUCAGCUAGUUGGUGAGGUAACGGCUCACCAAGGCGACGACGGGUAGCCGGCCUGAGAGGGUGACCGGCCACACUUGGACUGAGACACGGCCCAGACUCCUACGGGAGGCAGCAGUGGGGAAUAUUGCACAAUGGGCGCAAGGCUGAUGCAGCAACGCCGCGUGAGGGAUGACGGCCUUCGGGUUGUAAACCUCUUUUAGUAGGGGAGAAGCGAAAGUGACGGUACCUGCAGAAAGAGCACCGGCUAACUACGUGCCAGCCGCCGCCGUAA